AUUCCUGAAACAUCAGCCUCCUUUCUCUCUCUACUUUCCCCAUUUGGGAUUUUGUGUAAGAUUUUCUCUCUCUUUUCUUAUUACAACUUUUGCAACUUAUAUAUAUAUACAUAUACAUCUAUAUAUAUAUAUAUAUAUAUAUAUAUAUAUUUUAUUUUAUUUUGGAAUAAAAUGUGCAAAAAUCUUCCAUCCGAUUGCUGAAUAAAUUUAGAUGAGCAACGCGGCCAUCUUUUGCACAGAUUAAAUAAUAUUAAGGCUUAAUUAAUUAAUUUAUUUAGCCAUUAAUUUGCUGUUUCUAAGAAGUUGGUGUUGGUUUUCACUCCACUUUAAUUUCUUUGAUUUUGCAGCAUACAUUAUUUCUUUUUAUUUAUUCUUUCAUGAACUUUUGAUUGAUUAUCUAUUUUAUUUUUUUGUUUGAAGUUUUAAUAAGUAAUUUUUUGUAUUUUGAUAUGACGAGACAAAAAAUUUAAGUGCCAUAAAAUAUUGAGUACCUCUGUAAAUUUAUUUUUAUUUACAAAUGUACAGCUGUAUAUAAUAAGUGCAGAGCAAUUUACGAAAUAUAGAUAAAUUAAAUAAGGGCAUGUAAUUAAAAUUCAUGAAAGACCAAAUAAAAUGACAAGCAGACACAAAUUAAUCUCACACAGACACAUUUUAUUAUUAUAUAUAGACACAUACAAAAGAGAUAAGUUCCACUGAGACGAGUUGGACUGUCGGAUUAUAUUGUCAUAAGUUUUUAAAACAAAAUUGAAACACGUGAAUUAAAUUCACAAUGUGUUUUUAACUUUUCUUAAUUUCUAAACUAAAUCUUAGUUAGUGGGCUUAGUAGGGCUAAGUAGUGCUUAGUGGAUUUAAUUAUGGGAUUUAUCUUAACUUCCUAACUAACCCACUAACCCAUUAUCUUGAGUGCUCUUGUGGUUGGUUUUCUUGCAGAUCAUGGGCUGAAGAGUGGAAGCUUGGCAAGUCUAUAAAUACCAAACUCAAGACUCAAGAUUAAUACAGAUUUCGAGAAAACAAAAUAGAGAGCUGAAGUUUUAAUCUCGAGAAUUUUAGUGUGUUUUCUAGGAUCUGUUGUACGUACUAUUUAUAAGUACCUUCUUUGAAAUCUAGAAUUUUUGAUAUCUUUCUUUUAGUAUCUAGAUUUGGUUGUAAGAGUGAUCUUGAAAAAGAUUCACUCAUAAGGAAGAAGUUUUCGCACUCUUCUGUUUGUAUUCUUGGAAUACUGAUUUUAAUAUAUUUUCCGUCCUGUAAAGGGCAAGUUCAC
rnacentral:lncRNA from 1 species